GGCCGCCUGGCGAAAUGGCAUCGCGUCUGACUACGAAAGUAUGCGGGUUCAGCCUGCUGCUGACGUAAGCCAUCAGGAGAUUGCAGGUUCGACCCCUGCGGUGGUCA